UGGGGAAUCUUGGUCAAUGGGCGCAAGCCUGAACCAGCGACGCCGCGUGAGUGAUGAAGGCCUUCGGGUUGUAAAGCUCUGUGGGGAGGGACGAAAGAACUCAGUCGAAUAGGCUGAGUAGUUGACGGUACCUCCUUAGCAAGCACCGGCUAACUCUGUGCCAGCAGCCGCGGUAAGACAGAGGGUGCAAACGUUGCUCGGAAUUACUGGGCGUAAAGCGCGUGUAGGCGGGCUUGCAAGUCAGAUGUGAAAUCCCUGGGCUCAACCCAGGAACUGCAUUUGAAACUGCAAGCCUUGAGUAUCGGAGAGGAAAGCGGAAUUCCUGGUGUAGAGGUGAAAUUCGUAGAUAUCAGGAGGAACACCGGUGGCGAAGGCGGCUUUCUGGACGAUAACUGACGCUGAGACGCGAAAGCGUGGGGAGCAAACAGG
rnacentral:rRNA from 1 species